GUUGGGAAUGCGGGGCAUAGGCUACAUUUUUGCUAAUUAGUAUGGAAGUGCCUUUGGUUUUGCUAGCCGAUGUGGCGUGGAUUUGUAUAGGAUAAUCUUUCUGUAGGACGGUGGGGUGUGCGUUGGUCAUGAAAUGUGUCUCUUGAAGGCAUAGAACGUCUACUGCUUUGUGUUUGAUCUCUCGGUAUAGGAGGUGUCUCUUAACCGGGAUGUUCAGUCCCCUAACGUUGUGUGAGUAGAUUU